AACGAACGCUGGCGGCAUGCCUAACACAUGCAAGUCGAACGAGACCUUCGGGUCUAGUGGCGCACGGGUGCGUAACGCGUGGGAACCUGCCCUUAGGUUCGGAAUAACUCCCCGAAAGGGGUGCUAAUACCGGAUAAUUUCUUCGGACCAAUGAUUUAUCGCCUUUCGAUGGGCCCGCGUUGGAUUAGCUAGUUGGUAGGGUAAAAGCCUACCCAGGCGAAGAUCCAUAGCUGGUCUGAGAGGAUGAUCAGCAACACUGGGACUGAGACACGGCCCAGACUCCUACGGGAGGAAGAAGUGGGGAAUAUUGGACAAUGGGCGAAAGACUGAUCCAGCAAUGCCGCGUGAGUGAUGAAGGCCUUAGGGUUGUAAAGCUCUUUUACCCGGGAUGAUAAUGACAGUACCGGGAGAAUAAGCUCCGGCUAACUCCGUG
rnacentral:rRNA from 1 species